GCGUCGAUGGUGUAGUGGUAACAUUCUGGCUUCCCAUGCCUGAGCCUCGGGUUCGAUUCCCGAUCGUCGCA
rnacentral:tRNA from 1 species